AACGCACAUUGCGCCUCCUGGUAUUCCGGGAGGCACGCCUGUCCGAGCGCCAUUACACCCCCCAAGCCUUGCUUGAUGUUGGGCCAUGACGCGCUGUCAAGCCCCAAACCUUUAGGCGCCCCCUACUGGCCGCGAGCGUAGCAAGAAUUUAUUUCCCUCGUUCCGCGUGUCCAUUGGGUGGGUCGCCGAUUGACCCCCUAAAUUUUACAAGGUUUGGCCUCGGAUCAGGCGGGGAUACCCGCUGAACUUAA
rnacentral:misc_RNA from 1 species